UACGUAGGGGGCGAGCGUUGUCCGGAUUCAUUGGGCGUAAAGCGCGCGUAGGCGGCUUCGCAAGUCGGCCGUGAAAUCUCCGGGCUCAACUCGGAGGGGUCGGGCGAGACUGCGAGGCUCGAGGUGGGCAGAGGGCAGUGGAAUUCCGGGUGUAGUGGUGGAAUGCGUAGAGAGUCCGGAGGAACACCAGUGGCGAAGGCGGCUGCCUGGGCCUGGCCUGACGCUGAGGCGGCGAAAGCUGAGGGGAGCAAACGGGG
rnacentral:rRNA from 1 species